ensembl:antisense
CGUCAACAUACAACGACACCAACAAGAGGGUUUUAUUUCAAGAAUGAUACAAUGUCAUUCGCUAAAAGACGUACUAGAGACAUCAAAUAUGAACCGAAACACGGUCGAAUCGUCCGUGAGGCUCCGCUUUAACGUCAAAUAACCCGAAUUCACCUUCAACGAGAAACCGAAACACCGCGUACACUUGCUGUCACCGGGUUUUAACCUCUUAAUUCUCAUAAAGCUCUAGCAAAAACAUGCAGGCGGAUAUGUGCAGCACGUACCGUUUAAAAGAAAAGCAGUUAAUUACCGGCAUUAUCUUCUCUUUAGUCGCCUCACUCCCCGUUCACAUGAUAAUUAAACGAAGCCGAAUGAUGUGCGAAGCUGCAAUAAAUGCCAAAAUCUCCAAGCUGCUAACUAAUUCUGUGCGACUCACGCUGAGGUUUAGUCGGCGGGUAUGUAUAUAUUCAGCCGAGAUCGCUACAGGUUGCUCUGGUAGAGCCGCGAUAAAAUGGUCAGGUUAAAUUGGAUUUAAUUCCCAUCCUCACAGUCGCAACCCCAGCCAAAGCGUCGGGUUGUGUGGUAAAGUAAACGAGCGGCUUCACGAGUACACACAGGCUUGCGUGCAAUGCGUUAAUUUCAUCGACACGCUCAUUGAAAUGCAGGUUAAAUGUGACCUGGAGAAGCGCGAGUUUACAUUCUGACAAGCCCGCGUCAUCAGUAUAAACAGGGGCUGUGCGUGUGUAUAAGCGGAUAAAUAUAGUAACAAAGUUUAAAAUGCAAAGCCACAAAGGUAUAGCGGCUGUACGGACUAAAUCAUUGGAUGCACGAGAGCUGUCCGGGCUUUAAAUCGGUUGCGAACAUUUGGCAGCGCAACAUCGUACACUCCCCUUGUCUCACUAGGGUAGAACAAAUGUGGGUCACCGGGCCUUCGGAUUCUUCCCAGGCAAGCAUUAAAAACACACCAGCGUAUUUUCACCGCAAGAACGCUUCUAUUAAAUCCGCCACAAAUGCGACACCGUAGACAUGCAGCGCUUUCUCAAAAUAUCACUGUUUUGCAAGUCCGCUUGUUCCCUUACCUUGGUUACUUGCCGUCCAGGAGGGGGAUUUUCUUGCGCCUUGUUUUGGUUGAGACGGCAGUGUAGGAUUGAACUAGAGUUAGAAAAACAGCAGGGCCUACCCCAGGCUUCCCAAGCGCAUGCGCGGUGCGGCUCGAGAAGAAUCCCACACAAUCUGGCAACACGCAGCAAGAGCUUGGCUGCUAGUUGGCACGCGAGAAUCUACUAGAGCUUUUAUUUAUCUCAUUGUUUUUAUUCAUCAUGAAAUAUAAUAUUAAGUGCAUUUUAAAGAAAUCAAGCAGAUCGCAGGUAGUUCCCAAAAUGCCAUAUUUAACGAACAAAUCACUGAUUUCCAUAAAGAUAACAAGAAAUGUGCAAAGACAAAAAUGCUGGGUUAUUUGAAAACAAAAUUUGGUACAAUAUAGACAUACUCAACCACGGGGUUACAUGUUUGUUUGUUUUUGUAUUCAAUUUAUAGCCAACUUUUACCCAACAGUUGGGUUUAUAUGUAUUUAACCCAAAGUUUUUGUUUUCAAAAUUACUUUGUUUUUCAGAUAAAGAAAUCAUGAAUUAUGAUUUUUUAAAAUAAUAAAUACAAAUUAUCAUUAUAAAAUUAUGGAAACAAUUAAAUAAAAGUCUCAAGCAAGCAAAUAAUAAUUAAUGAUAAUUAUAAAUAAAAUAGCAUCACUAAGUGCCCUAAAAUAUGAACCAAACACAUUAAAAGUCUGUCCAUUUUCCCAAUACAUUUAUUUUCUGACAUAAUUUAAUGACACUAUGAAUAGUUUAAUUUUGGUAUUUAAUUAAAGGCUUAUUGACCGCAGAGAUGUAAAAAUGUCGGUAACAAUAAACAUAGAAAACCUUCCUGUGCUUUAAAGGUUGCGUUUCGGCGUGAAUUUUA